rnacentral:rRNA from 1 species
GAUGAACGCUGGCGGCGUGCCUAAUACAUGCAAGUCGAGCGAAUGGAUUAAGAGCUUGCUCUUAUGAAGUUAGCGGCGGACGGGUGAGUGACACGUGGGUAACCUGCCCAUAAGACUGGGAUAACUCCGGGAAACCGGGGCUAAUACCGGAUAACAUUUUGAACCGCAUGGUUCGAAACUGAAAGGCGGCUUCGGCUGUCACUUAUGGAUGGACCCGCGUCGCAUUAGCUAGUUGGUGAGGUAACGGCUCACCAAGGCAACGAUGCGUAGCCGGCCUGGGAGGGUGAUCGGCCACACUGGGACUGAGACACGGCCCAGACUCCUACGGGAGGCAGCAGUAGGGAAUCUUCCGCAAUGGACGAAAGUCUGACGGAGCAACGCCGCGUGAGUGAUGAAGGCUUUCGGGUCGUAAAACUCUGUUGUUAGGGAAGAACAAGUGCUAGUUGAAUAAGCUGGCACCUUGACGGUACCUAACCAGAAAGCCACGGCUAACUACGUGCCAGCCGCCGCAGUAA